CCUACGGGAGGCAGCAGUAGGGAAUCUUUCACAAUGGGCGAAAGCCUGAUGGAGCAACGCCGCGUGCAGGAUGAAGGCCUUCGGGUUGUAAACUGCUUUUAUAAGCGAGAAAUAUGAUGGUAACUUAUGAAUAAGGAUCGGCUAACUACGUGCCAGCAGCCGCGGUCAUACGUAGGAUCCGAGCAUUAUCCGGAGUGACUGGGUGUAAAGAGUUGCGUAGGUGGCAUAAUAAGUAGCUAGUGAAAUCUGGUGGCUCAACCAUUCAGACUAUUAGCUAAACUGUUAAGCUCGAGACCGUUAGGGGUAACUGGAAUUUCUAGUGUAGGAGUGAAAUCCGUAGAUAUUAGAAGGAACACCAAUAGCUUAGGCAGGUUGCUGGGACGGUUCUGACACUAAGGCACGAAAGCGUAGGGAGCAAACGGGAUUAGAUACCCGAGUAGUC
rnacentral:rRNA from 1 species